ensembl:lncRNA
UUCUGACUUGUACUUCAAAGAUAAAAAAUAACUGAACCUUGCCCUCAGGGAACUCACAGGCUAGUUGAAAGAGAUAUGAUACACGUAUAUAUGAAACCAAAAACUGAGGAAGAAAUAAUAUCACGGCUCAAUAUUUUUCAAACCAUAAAUUGCAGUCCAUUUGCAGGACAUGAAAUCAAUCAGUAGGUCAUGACCAGCAUUAAAAAAAUAAAUUGAAUAAAAAUAUUUGACUGAGUCACAAAUUAAGGAUACAUGUUGUUUUGUGAAAGUUUUAAGUUGCGUGUGUGUGUGUGUUUGUGUGUAGGACUAUAGUGUAAUAUGAAGGGUUUUUACUAUGCAUCUGAUAUGAUUUGGUUCUGUGUCCCCACCCAAACUUCAUUUCCAAAUGUAAUUCCCAUGUGUCAGGGAGGAACCAGGUGGGAGGUGAUUGGAGCAAGGGGCUGGUUCCCUCAUGCUCAUGUUCUCAUGAUAAUGAGUGAGUUAUCACACGAGCUGAUGGUUUUAAAGUGUGACACUUCCUUGUGCUCCCACACACUCCAUCCUGCUGCCUUGUGAAGAAGAUGCCUGCUUCUCCUUCGCCUUCUGCCAUGAUUCUAAGUUUCCUGAGGCCUGCUAGCCAUGCUUCCUGUCAAGCCUGCAGAACUGUGCUGAUGUUGCUGCUGAUCCACCCAAGAAGAAAAAGUGCUAGAUGGAGAGACUAUUUCCAGAGGAAGAACCUGAGGAAGUCCCUGAAGUCAUUCGUUUGUGACUUCAAGUGCCUCCAAGGAAUAAAAGAAAACAUGCUUCUCCCUUCUUUCUCUCGUUUUUGCUUUUGGUUGAUGGAUAGAAAUCCUAACUUACCCAUUCUUCACUAAGGAUUGUUGCUGUCCGGCUUCCAGGUGCUGAAUGUUAAAACCAAGGGACCAGAUCUGCUUCAGACCAGUUACUGUGAAAAGCUCCACUGUUUAAUCUGAGGGUUGGUUCCCAGUUUUCCAUCGUGUUUUAAACAUUGGUGCCUUUCCAUACAAUGUCCCCUGCAAUUAACAGCAGAGUCCUUCCUAUAAAGAAGGUUUUUAAAAACAGAAGCAAGAAGAGUUUUAUUUAGUCUACCUUCUACCGGCUACCACAUUACAUCAGGGUUUCACUUGCAUUCAGAUAGCUGCCUUGACUUCCUAAUGGUUUUCUCUGCCUAAAGUUCCUUUUUUGUCUCCCUCUACCCGCCCCCUCUUCCCCUCUUAAACCAUCCUGUACAGGGAUAUAUUGAUCAAG